GCCCUCGCCCAGCAGCUUCAGCACCUGGAAGUGUUGGGAGACCUUCAGGCUGGGCAUCGACUGGGCCGACAGGAAGCACCGCUCGUCCAGGUCCUGAGCCGCUGAAGCAGCCUGAAGACAGAAAACAGAAUCAUCAGAACAUUGGGUCUCCAUGUCAGUCGAAGCGUCAAACCGGAGCAGCAAAGACUCUCAGAUUAACAUGUCCAGCUCACAGUUUCUCUCCUGACCUUCACGUUACGUCACCGAGCUUCAGCUGGAGCUAAUUAAACAACUCGUUAAGACAACAGCGAAGCUGCCGUGUUGUUUUUAAUCUCAGAGAGCUGACUGAUCUCUGAAAGUUUCCCAUCGACCAUAAAUCUGACGAUGGCGAUGAGACGGUCUGUCGGUCUGGAUUUAUGUCAGUCUUAUGUCAUCUGAGAAACGUCCCGUCAGAAGAUCAGAAAUGAGCUGAUCUCUGAUAUGAGUUACUGCUGAAGAAACAAAUAGAUCAGAUGUGCAGCCAAAAAUAAGCCCGAAUGUUUGAGCUGCUCCACACCGCUGGAAGUUCAUCCCUGAUGGAUGGAAGGAUCCAGCGAGGACGUUCUAGAUCUUUAAAGAGCACCAGACUCAACUGGUUUGGGUUGGUUUGGAGUCAAUCUGGACAAAUCUGGAGACGUUUCCGGUCACUUUUGCACAAACUUCAAGUCAUUUUAGGCAAAAUUUGAGGAAUUGGGACGUUUUGACUUGUUUUGGUUGGUUCGGGUUCAUUUUGGAGAAAUCUGUUGUCAAUUUUGACCUUUUUAACCAUUUUUUAGUCACUUUGGACAAAUCUGGAGACAUUUCUAGUCACUUUUUAAUGAAGUCAACCAAAAAUCAACCAAAAUCCAGUGAAAUUCGCUGGAUUUUGGUUUAUUUUUUUCCUGAAUGUUCUUAAAGAAACAUUUUUUUUAACAUUUCUUUUUUCCACCAAAAAAUGUUCAAAAAUUUCCCAAAAAUGUUGAAAAUAUCGAAGUUUCACUGUGAAAAUAUUUUUUUCCACAUUUUCAAACUUUAAAAUGGGUCAAUUUGACCCACAGGACGACACGAGGGUUAAAUCGCUCCUUAAAACACACUUUUAUAGACUUUUGCUUUUAUGUGAAGUUUACUUUUAGCUUUAUUUAGUUUCAGUCUUCUAUUCUGUAUUAUGUUAACUUAUUAUUAUGAUUUCUACUAUUUAUUUUCAGACUGCUCUGCCUCGAUUGUCUGUGUUUGCAUGUUUUGACCUCCUGAACGCUGCUAUAGGAAUUAAACACUAUUAAUAUUCCAAUUAUAAAACUGCAGUAGAGAGAGUUUCCAAACAGAAAUCUGUUAAAGCCACUUGUUAAACUCAGUAACCUGCGAAAACAAAGUUAGAUUCCUGAAUUUAAAUGUGAUCCGAGCUGUUAACGGCCUGCAGUUAUCACGUUGUUACGUCCUGCAGCUGCUCCUCGUCGCUCACAAGCCGACAGAAAUUAAACCUCCUAUAUCUGAGGUUUGUCUGCAGUUUUAUCUGCUCACUGUUUAACUGUAGCUUCAUUAAUCAUCACAGAAUCAUCUAACAGAGGUGAUUAUUAAUGAAACCCUCUUGGAGAACUGGUCACUAAUGAACUAAUUACACUAAUUAAAGUCCACCAGCUGAGAAUCAUCGCUACUUCUCCAGUAAAAUCCUGCAUUUAUGUAUUUAAUUCCUGCAUGUCGACUCAUCGUAAAGCUACAAAAACAGCUGUGAAAUCCGAUAUUUAAACAUAAAACUGUCUGCACCAACAGCACGCUGUAAUAAAUGUCAUCAAUUAUUAAGAGCAGUUCACAAAAUAUGAUUAAAACUGUCAAUUCUGACAACGUUUUGGGGGCAAAAUCACAUAAACUCCAGUUUACAGCAAAUAUUAGCACUAGUUUGACACAGAUUUCUAUAUAUUAUGUUCAUUUUUCCUCGGUUUCUACAUUUUAAUAGACUUAUAAUGUGUUGUACAUUUGAAAAAAAUGCUCCUAACACAUAAAAAUAUAAAUAAAAUUGUUGUUUCAAAGUU